rnacentral:rRNA from 1 species
UACGGAGGGAGCUAGCGUUGUUCGGAAUUACUGGGCGUAAAGCGCGCGUAGGCGGCUUUGUAAGUUAGAGGUGAAAGCCCGGAGCUCAACUCCGGAACUGCCUUUAAAACUGCAUCGCUUGAAUCCAGGAGAGGUGAGUGGAAUUCCGAGUGUAGAGGUGAAAUUCGUAGAUAUUCGGAAGAACACCAGUGGCGAAGGCGGCGACCUGGGCAGAUACUGACACUGAGGUGCGAAAGCGUGGGGAGCAAACAGG